rnacentral:lncRNA from 1 species
CACUACACACACCAUGUACUACACGGACACUACCCACAUCACACACACCACAGACUACAUACACACUACACACACAACACACUACACACAUAACACACUACACACACCAUGUACUACACACAUCACAUACACCACACACACAAAAUACAUACACACCACACACAGUACACACUACACACAUCACACAUACUACACACAUAUCACACACAAACUACAUACACACCACACACCAUACUAAACACAUGCUACACUACAUACACACUACACACACAAAACACACACGAAACACACCACACAACUACAUGCACACUACACACAUCACACACACUACACCACACACAUACACCCCCAUACUACAUGCCCACUACAUGCAUGCCACACAUAUGGACACAUACCACACAUGCACUAAACGCACACCACACACACACAAACUACAUACACACUACACACACAACACACUACACACAUCUUACACACACUGCACACGUCAUACACAAACUACACACACACUGCACACAUACUACACACAGUAUACACAAACUACAUACACAGUACACACAACACACUACGUGCAGC